rnacentral:rRNA from 1 species
CAUGCAGUCGAGGGGCAUCAGUUUGGUUUGCUUGCAAACCAAAGCUGGCGACCGGCGCACGGGUGAGUAACACGUAUCCAACCUGCCUCAUACUCGGGGAUAGCCUUUCGAAAGAAAGAUUAAUAUCCGAUAGCAUAUAUUUCCCGCAUGGGUUUUAUAUUAAAGAAAUUCGGUAUGAGAUGGGGAUGCGUUCCAUUAGUUUGUUGGCGGGGUAACGGCCCACCAAGACUACGAUGGAUAGGGGUUCUGAGAGGAAGGUCCCCCACAUUGGAACUGAGACACGGUCCAAACUCCUACGGGAGGCAGCAGUGAGGAAUAUUGGUCAAUGGACGCGAGUCUGAACCAGCCAAGUAGCGUGAAGGAUGACUGCCCUAUGGGUUGUAAACUUCUUUUAUAUGGGAACAAAGUGGUCCACGUGUGGAUUUUUGUAUGUACCAUAUGAAUAAGGAUCGGCUAACUCCGUGCCAGCAGCCGCGGUAAUACGGAGGAUCCGAGCGUUAUCCGGAUUUAUUGGGUUUAAAGGGAGCGUAGGCGGAUUGUUAAGUCAGUUGUGAAAGUUUGCGGCUCAACCGUAAAAUUGCAGUUGAUACUGGCAGUCUUGAGUGCAGUAGAGGUGGGCGGAAUUCGUGGUGUAGCGGUGAAAUGCUUAGAUAUCACGAAGAACUCCGAUUGCGAAGGCAGCUCACUGGAGUGUAACUGACGCUG